rnacentral:misc_RNA from 1 species
CACAAAGCAAAUAAAAUGGAUCUCAACACGACAACUAUCACAUUGCAAGGACGACAAACUUUUAUGAACACAUCAGUCCCAGAAACAUGUUACAUCAUGACUUGUAGUGAGGAUGACAACUCGGGGGACUCUGUGGUGUACCUGGACAACAUGGGCUAUCAGUGCCGCCAGAACACUAAGAUGGUAUAUUCUCAGAGCAAUGAUGGUAUUUUCGCUCAGGACGAUGGUUGUAGGUUGGUCCUUGGAUUGGGUCCAUCACCAACUUUUUAUGGUUCUGAUUACCGGACAGAUGUUAAUAAAUGCAAAGACUCGGCAAAUUUGUUCGACCAGAUCUUGACUUCUGGAGCUGAUUAUGGGAUGUUGAAGCUCGGGCUGUCAAG